GGAGAAUGUGCUGCCGCUGUAAACACUGAAAUGUUUUUUUUCAAACUUUUCAUACAACUCCUGUUUUGGUAUUUGAUAAAUGUUCGUUUGUGGAAGAUUAAAAAAAAAAAUAAGAGCAACGGGAGCGGCGCUGACACACUGGCAGCUGAUCUUCAAGAUAACGGUACAAAACACUCGCUGGAAUCUCUGCAGCUUCAGAACACCCUGACCUUGCAGUGAACAGGGGUAUUGAGCGAUGAUCCAACUGACCCAGACUAUGUUCCUCACCUGAGGAUGGGUUACGACCAGGAACAGGCAUUGGGAAGUAAGAAGAGAACAAGAAGCGUCCGUGGAAAAGU